rnacentral:siRNA from 1 species
CGAGCUGAUAUAUCACUGGGCCA